CAGCCGCCGCGGUAAUACGAAGGGUGCAAGCGUUAAUCGGAAUUACUGGGCGUAAAGCGCGCGUAGGUGGUUUGGUAAGAUGGAUGUGAAAUCCCCGGGCUCAACCUGGGAACUGCAUCCAUAACUGCCUGACUAGAGUACGGUAGAGGGUGGUGGAAUUUCCUGUGUAGCGGUGAAAUGCGUAGAUAUAGGAAGGAACACCAGUGGCGAAGGCGACCACCUGGACUGAUACUGACACUGAGGUGCGAAAGCGUGGGGAGCAAACAGGAUUAGAUACCCCGUAGUCCCUGUCUCUUAUACA
rnacentral:rRNA from 1 species